GGGGGCCGAGUGGUGAAGGCGAUGGACUAGAAAUCCAUUGGGGUUUCCCUGCGCAGGUUCGAAUCCUGCCAACUACG
rnacentral:tRNA from 1 species